rnacentral:lncRNA from 1 species
GUAAUUUUUAAAGAUUCCUUAUCUUUUAGAAAUACAUAUUGAAAUAUUUAGAGAUGUAGUGAUAUAAUGUCUGGGGUAUGCUUCAAGAUAAGAGUUGCAGAAAGUGGGUGGUAGUAUAAAUCAAGAUUGGUUAUGAGUUGAGAAUUUUUGAGUAAUAGGUAUAUGGGGACUAAGUAUUCUAUUCUUCAUACUUUUACAUGCCGUAAAUCCCCACUUAUCUGCAGGGAAUGUGUUCCAAGACCCCCAGUGGAUGCCUGAAACUGAGAAUAGUACUGGACCCUGUAUAUACUGUGUUUUUUCUUUCCUUAUUGAGAACUUUUAUGUUUUCACUUAAAGGAAGGACUUUACAGCUUCUCUUUCGCAUAUCCAAAUUGCCAGCAUCACCGCUCUUGCACUCCAAGCCAUUAUUAAGUAAAGUAAAGAACACAAACACUGUGAUACUGCUACACUUGAUCUGAUAACCAAGAAGUCUACUAAGUGACUAACAGUUAAUAUUUUUGGACAUGAGGUGACUGCAGUUAACUAAAACCAUGGAAAGCAAACCCAUAGAUAAAGGGAUACUAUGAAGAGAAGACAUGGAGAAGAGGAGGGAGUAGUUGUGACCGUGGAGGCAGAGAAUGGAGUAAUGUGAUCAUAAAUCAAGGAAUGCUGACAGCCACUAAAGCUGGAGAAGGCCAAGGACAGAUAUUCAAUCCUCCCGUAGAAGUACAGCCCUGCUAAUGCAUUGAUUUUGGACUUCUGGCCUCAGAACUGUAAGAGAAUAAAUUUCUAUUGUUUUAAGCCUUCAGUUUGUGGUAGUUUGUUACAGAAACCCUGUAAAGUUAAUACACAGAGUUCAAAGAGAAUCCGGUAAUAUCUCUAAAAGACUCGUGUAUUAGUCAGGAUUCUCCAGAGAAGCAAAGCCAAUAGAAUGAUACAUGUUGUUAAAGCAAAUUAAAAUGGAGACCAUGCCUGAAGAAUCUCUGUGCAGAGAAACCCAGUUAGGCCUCAUAAGUUAACCUUACUUGAUUUGCAAACAUAAUCUAAAAGUUAACUGGAGCUAUUUCCGGUAAAUGAAUAUAACACAACUUAAGCUCAAUCAGUCAGAAGCAGCUUUAUAAUUAUGUAGCUAGGGACUUUCCAAGAGGAUGACCAAAGAAGG